CAAUUCUUUCGCAACGUAAUAUCCGUGAAUUUUUCAAAUAUCUCAUUAAUCCACCUACCAUACACAUCCACCACCUAUAUAAUAUCCAGUUAACCUUUCUCAUACAUAAUAUGACAUAUCAUAAUUUUGAAUUAAAUAUAUCAUCGUAUUUGAAUUUAAAUAUUAAAGUGAUUCAAAAUUAAAUUUUAAAUCAAAUAUGAAUUUUAUUGCGAAAAUACCUUUAUCUUUUUAACUAAUUUUUUCAUGUCCAAAAAUUUUGAACCAUUCAUCUCAAAUAAUCCAUUAAAUUUUAACGCAUUUGAAUUUAAAUCUUAAAAUAGAUCAAAAUUAAAUUUUGAAUUUUGAAUUUGAUUUAACUUGAUUUUUAAUAAUAUAGUAAAUAGAAUAGAGUUUGACACGUGGCAAGUAUAUAGAAAGCCAUGUGUCAAAUUCUCACAAAGGGUUCAUAAAGGGUUCUACUUUAGUAUAUAGUAAUAGAUAGAUAGAUAGAUAGAUAUCCACACCUGCCAAUAUCCGUGAAUUUUGCAAUUCUCAUUUUCUCAAUAUCUUAUUAAUCCACCUACCAUUUGAAUUUAAGAAUAUAGUUUUUCUUUCUCACGCGUAAUAUCCGCACCUGCCAAUUCUUUCGCAACGUAAUAUCCGUGAAUUUUGAAAUAUCUCAUAGAAUAGUAAAUAGAAUAGAUAUGUAAUUUAGAAAAUCUAUAUUUAUAUUUGAGCUUGACACGUGGCAAGCAUAUAGAAAGCCACGUGUCAGUUUCUCACAUAGGGUUUCAUAAAGGGUUCUACUUUAGUAUAUAGUAAUAGAUAGAUUUAAAUUUUGAAUUUGAUUUAAUUUGAUUUUUAAUAAUAUAAUAAAUAGAAUAGAGUUUGACACGUGGCAAGAAUAUAGAAAACCACAUGUCAGAUUCUCACAAAGGGUUCAUAAAGGGUUCUAGUUUAGUAUAUAGUAAUAGAUUUGCUCCGUAUUCGUUCGUGGACGUAGGCCGUUGACCGAACCACAUAAAUAUCGGUGUGCCCUUUCUUCUUUUCUUUUCGUUUCUUGCAUUAAAUUAUUUUCUGCUUCUAUUUUUCGUCGUUCCGAUUUUAACAGAAAGUGUCCUUUGUAUAAAGGACAAUAUUUGAUACUUAUUUUAUUUAUUUUUUUG
rnacentral:lncRNA from 1 species